UUUUUUAAUAGUUUACAGUUAUAUUUACUUUUUUGUUUUUCAUAAUAGAAACUUAUGAAAUUGCUCUCAAGUACAAAAAUUGCAGAGCAGUGGAAAUGCAGCAGACAGAGACCACAGAUUGUCAAACUGACACAAUUACUCAUAUGAAGAGAAGUGGAAUAUUGACGGUGCUCAUGCUAGGUUUUCUUUGGCAAGGAGUACUCAGCGGUGGUUUGCAAGACUUCCGAUUUCUAUUUUGC
rnacentral:lncRNA from 11 species